rnacentral:rRNA from 1 species
UACAGAGGGUGCAAGCGUUAAUCGGAAUUACUGGGCGUAACGCGCGCGUAGGUGGUUUGUUAAGUCGGAUGUGAAAUCCCAGGGCUCAACCUUGGAAUGGCACCCGAUACUGGCAGGCUAGAGUAUGGUAGAGGGGUGUGGAAUUUCCUGUGUAGCGGUGAAAUGCGUAGAUAUAGGAAGGAACAUCAGUGGCGAAGGCGACACCCUGGACUAAUACUGACACUGAGGUGCGAAAGCGUGGGGAGCAAACAGG